UAUCUUUUUGGUGUAUUGCACAGGAGUUUUUGAAGCUCCAGGAGGGCUUGGACCCAAAAGAUAU
rnacentral:tRNA from 1 species